AUGUGGCUGCAACAUCUGUCAAUCCAUUGAUUGCCAGUGUUGUUUAGGCUGAUCUGGCUUAAGUGUCGGUCUCUU
rnacentral:snRNA from 1 species